rnacentral:rRNA from 1 species
AUGUAUAUAGAGUCUAGGUAUAGGUUGAGGUCGAGUAGUGCCCAUGUGGCGUAUGGCUGUAUGCCGAUGUGGAGAGCGCCGCCGCCGCGUACGAGCAGCGGCUGGUGGCUCACGGUGGCUGCGUCUCAGGCAAGGCUGGCUGGCGGCCAGUCGCUGCCGAGGGGCGUGCUGCUGGCUCAUCCACCAAUAAGCUCGUCUGGUCCCCUGUUCUGGAGGCUCUCCGAUAUUUCUCUAGCUCGUGGCGUCGCCGUGGUGGUGAAGACGAAGAGUAGAAGAGAUGGAGAACCAGAUCGGGUCAGUGCUCUUAUCCGGUGGCUGUUUGGGAGUGGCCUUGGCGCCAGCUACGGCGUUCGGCGGCCGGCCGGCUCCAUCACGUCAUCGUACAUGCUGGCCGAAGGGCGGCCUUUCUACUUCUUCCUCCCGGCCAAGAUGCCUAAAGGGAGGCAGCUCAUCUUCUGCACGGAGUCUAUGGCGUGGUGCCAUGGAAGCUUAGUUGUCCCAAGUGGCAAUGUCCCCGGCGACGGCGAAGUUACGGCCGUGCAGAAGAUGUCAAGGACCCGAUUGCUUUUCUUAUCUGGUUGUUGGGGUCCUCUUUGUAAAAGACAGGGACCAGUGUGUUAUUUGCAGUUAGUUCUGGGUCCGUCUGUAAAAUGCUGUGUACUUCAUGUUCAGUGUUAA